rfam:Chelonia mydas contig168491, whole genome shotgun sequence.
UUGCUAGCAGUCUAGUGGUUAGAAUUCAACAUUCUCACUGUUGUGCCCUGGGUUCAAUUCCUGGUCAGUAAA